GAAAUGCGAUAAGUAAUGUGAAUUGCAGAAUUCAGUGAAUCAUCGAAUCUUUGAACGCACAUUGCGCCCGCCAGUAUUCUGGCGGGCAUGCCUGUUCGAGCGUCAUUUCAACCAUCAAGCCCCGGGCUUGUGUUGGGGACCUGCGGCUGCCGCAGGCCCUGAAAACCAGUGGCGGGCUCGCUGUCACACCGAGCGUAGUAGAUUCUCAUCUCGCUCAGGGCGUGCUGCGGGUUCCGGACGUAAAACAGCCUUAUUUUACCCAAGGUUGACCUCGGAUCAGGUAGGAAGACCCGCUGAACUUAAGC
rnacentral:misc_RNA from 1 species